GAUGAAGAACGUAGCGAAAUGCGAUAAGUAAUGUGAAUUGCAGAAUUCAGUGAAUCAUCGAAUCUUUGAACGCACAUUGCGCCCCUUGGUAUUCCGAGGGGCAUGCCUGUUCGAGCGUCAUUAUAACCCCUCAAGCUCAGCUUGGUGUUGGGGCCUGCUGCACUGGCAGCCCUUAAAAUCAGUGGCGGCGCCAUCUGGCUCUAAGCGUAGUAAUUCUUCUCGCUAUGGAGUCCUGGUGGAUGCUUGCCAUCAACCCCCAAUUUUUCUAUGGUUGACCUCGGAUCAGGUAGGGAUACCCGCUGAACUUAAGCAUAUCAAUAAGCGGAAGA
rnacentral:misc_RNA from 1 species